CACGUAGGCACCAAGCGUUGUCCGGAUUUAUUGGGCGUAAAGAGCUCGUAGGCGGUUCGGUUAGUCGGGUGUGAAAACUUUGGGCUCAACCCAAAGCGUGCACUCGAUACUGCCGUGACUAGAGUUCGGUAGGGGAGUGGGGAAUUCCUAGUGUAGCGGUGAAAUGCGCAGAUAUUAGGAGGAACACCGGUGGCGAAGGCGCCACUCUGGGCCGAAACUGACGCUGAGGAGCGAAAGCGUGGGUAGCAAACAGG
rnacentral:rRNA from 2 species